AUUGAACGCUGGCGGCAGGCCUAACACAUGCAAGUCGAGCGGAUGAAGGGAGCUUUGCUCCUGGAUUCAGCGGCGGACGGGUGAGUAAUGCCUAGGAAUCUGCCUGGUAGUGGGGGAUAACGUCCGGAAACGGGCGCUAAUACCGCAUACGUCCUGAGGGAGAAAGUGGGGGAUCUUCGGACCUCACGCUGUCAGAUGAGCCUAGGUCGGAUUAGCUAGUUGGUGGGGUAAAGGCCUACCAAGGCGACGAUCCGUAACUGGUCUGAGAGGAUGAUCAGUCACACUGGAACUGAGACACGGUCCAGACUCCUACGGGAGGCAGCAGUGGGGAAUAUUGGACAAUGGGCGAAAGCCUGAUCCAGCCAUGCCGCGUGUGUGAAGAAGGUCUUCGGAUUGUAAAGCACUUUAAGUUGGGAGGAAGGGCAGUAAGUUAAUACCUUGCUGUUUUGACGUUACCAACAGAAUAAGCACCGGCUAACUUCGUGCCAGCAGCCGCGGUAAUACGAAGGGUGCAAGCGUUAAUCGGAAUUACUGGGCGUAAAGCGCGCGUAGGUGGUUCAGCAAGUUGGAUGUGAAAUCCCCGGGCUCAACCUGGGAACUGCAUCCAAAACUACUGAGCUAGAGUACGGUAGAGGGUGGUGGAAUUUCCUGUGUAGCGGUGAAAUGCGUAGAUAUAGGAAGGAACACCAGUGGCGAAGGCGACCACCUGGACUGAUACUGACACUGAGGUGCGAAAGCGUGGGGAGCAAACAGG
rnacentral:rRNA from 1 species